rnacentral:rRNA from 1 species
GACAAAGGGGGCAAGCGUUGCUCGGAAUUACUGGGCGUAAAGCGCACGUAGGUGGUUUUCUAAGUCAGCUGUGAAAUCCCCGGGCUCAACCUGGGACUUGCAGUUGAAACUGGAAAGCUAGAGUAGGGUAGAGGGGUGUGGAAUUCCAGGUGUAGCGGUGAAAUGCGUAGAUAUCUGGAGGAACAUCAGUGGCGAAGGCGACACCCUGGACUCAUACUGACACUGAGGUGCGAAAGCGUGGGGAGCAAACAGG